rnacentral:pre_miRNA from 1 species
AUCUGUAUUGAUGGUAUUCAGCACCAGGGACAGGUCUGUUUGUGUGUGGAUGGUGUUCAGCACCAUGGACAUGUAUGUUUACAU